rnacentral:rRNA from 1 species
UACGUAGGGGGCAAGCGUUGUCCGGAUUUAGUUGGGCGUAAAGCGCGUGUAGGCGGCCAUGUAGGUCUGACGUGAAAUUCCGAGGCUCAAACCUCCGGGCAGGUCGUUGGGAAACCAUAUGGCUAGAGUCCGGAAGAGGAGAGUGGAAUUCCUGGUGGUAGCGGUGAAAUGCGCAGAUAUCAGGAAGACACCAAUGGCGAAGGCAGCUCUCUGGGACGGUACUGACGCUGAGACGCGAAAGCGUGGGGAGCGAACAGG